UAGGGAAUCUUCCGCAAUGGGCGAAAGCCUGACGGAGCAACGCCGCGUGAGUGAUGAAGGUCUUCGGAUCGUAAAACUCUGUUAUUAGGGAAGAACAAAUGUGUAAGUAACUAUGCACGUCUUGACGGUACCUAAUCAGAAAGCCACGGCUAACUACGUGCCAGCAGCCGCGGUAAUACGUAGGUGGCAAGCGUUAUCCGGAAUUAUUGGGCGUAAAGCGCGCGUAGGCGGUUUUUUAAGUCUGAUGUGAAAGCCCACGGCUCAACCGUGGAGGGUCAUUUGAAACUGGAAAACUUGAGUGCAGAAGAGGAAAGUGGAAUUCCAUGUGUAGCAGUGAAAUGCGCAGAGAUAUGGAGGAACACCAGUGGCGAAGGCGACUUUCUGGUCUGUAACUGACGCUGAUGUGCGAAAGCGUGGGGAUCAAACAGG
rnacentral:rRNA from 1 species